rnacentral:rRNA from 1 species
GAUGAACGCUGGCGGCGUGCCUAAUACAUGCAAGUCGAGCGAACAGAUAAGGAGCUUGCUCCUUUGACGUUAGCGGCGGACGGGUGAGUAACACGUGGGUAACCUACCUAUAAGACUGGGAUAACUUCGGGAAACCGGAGCUAAUACCGGAUAACAUUUGGAACCGCAUGGUUCUAAAGUGAAAGAUGGUUUUGCUAUCACUUAUAGAUGGACCCGCGCCGUAUUAGCUAGUUGGUAAGGUAACGGCUUACCAAGGCGACGAUACGUAGCCGACCUGAGGGGGUGAUCGGCCACACUGGAACUGAGACACGGUCCAGACUCCUACGGGAGGCAGCAGUAGGGAAUCUUCCGCAAUGGGCGAAAGCCUGACGGAGCAACGCCGCGUGAGUGAUGAAGGGGUUCGGCUCGUAAAACUCUGUUAUUAGGGAAGAACAAACGUGUAAGUAACUGUGCACGUCUUGACGGUGCCUAAUCAGAAAGCCACGGCUAACUACGUG